rnacentral:lncRNA from 1 species
ACAACACUGUGCCUGGCUCUAUAGAUGUCCUUGGGAUUCGAACUUGGCUCCCCAGGCUUGCUCAGGGAAUACUCUGAGCUGUCCCUCCCAUCCCCAGCCCAUAAUCCCUUCUAACCAGAGACCAACUCUGAUCUUCAAAUGACACGGUGGCCUUUGCUAGAGGCCGCUGGCCCACAUCGCUUCUCUGAAGCACUUCUUCAACCAGAAACUUCCAGUUUAUUCCUGUGUAUUGCCUUUGAGCCCGGUUCCCAGGAACUGGGAUCUCUCGGCACCUGGGUGCUACCUGGCACACGGUGUGAAUGAACACAACUAUGUCUUGUUAUGUGGUGAAUAGAAGUUCCACCAGGCUGUCUGUCAGAGCUCAGGGUUCACCACUAGGCUCCAGGGCAAUGAGAGUCAUGAAGUCUUUCAGACUGGGGACAACUGGGGACGUGGAUCGGCUCAGUGACGCUCACCAUAGUUUCUGUGAGAUGUGGCAAGGUGUGGUGGAGUCUUGAUUUGGGGUCUCCCUGGGGCAUCUCUGGAAAUGGUAAUUCUCCAUCCUUGGGUCCAGCUAACGGGAAGAGCUUGGCCAAGGUCUUUCCCAAUGAUCACAGCACCAUGAUGGGUGGAUGGUAGAGGCCAGGGACCAGGGCACUUGGUGAUACCCUGUGUCUGGGCUGGGCAACCCUGUAGAUAAGCAUGCUCAUCACUGGGACGCAGGGGGAGGACUGGGUCUGAGGGUUUGAGGGUCAGAGUGGGAGAAAAAACUGGGGUUCUGUGGGGUGUCCAGAUGGAUCCCAGGUACACCUGAUUGGCAGCUGACCUCAGCCAACCAGCUAGGGUGGGGCACACAGGUCUGUGGGCUAGCAGGGCUAAGUGACUGAUGGAUACUCGGGAAUGGCUGAGGUAGCCUGAAACCAGAGGGUGAGGAAAAUUUGUGGGGGUGGGAGCAGAACUCCAGGGACCCCAGUGUUUGUGUGUAGAGGAAAGCCAAGAACAGAAGGUGCCAUGACAGGAACAACUGCUCUGUACCCAGACUCUGGGGUCCCCCUCCCUGAAGAAGGAGGCAAUGCCACUCAGCCAAGUGACUCACAGUGACCAAGAGUCAGUGUGAUACAGAUAUGCCCAUAGCGCACAAGUCCUCGGAGAAGGAUGAAAGGACCAGGGAGCAAAGCCACGCCCACCAUACCCAGGCAGCGUCUGGCCUCAGAGUGGAGAGUGGGUAAAGGGGUGGAGCCCCUCAGGCCUGUACUGGUUGCCAAACUGAGAUUGACUUCAUCUGCAGGAGAGCUGAGGGCUCAGGGGGGGCUUAAGGCAGCAUCCUCCAGCCAGAGAUGACAGACACACAGAGUGGGAAGGCUGGCAUAGCAAGUGAGCAGAGCUCUGUCACACGGCAUGCCCUGCCUCAGUCGGCCCGAUUCAUCCCAGAAGUGGGGGUCCUCUUCUGUUUGAAGGACAUUGGCUCCUGUCCUGUCUCAAGGACAGGACAGACAAGGAUCAGGACAGAAGUCCACGAGAGAAGGGGGUGAGGCAGAAAGGAAAGAUAAAGUGGUGAGCAAUGGCUACGUUGAGUUGCCAUCCCAGCAACCCUAGCUCCACACCCACCUCCUACAUUCCCCCUGCCCAAUGUGGCAAGCCCAGGACCACCAGCACCUCUCCCCUCAUCCCUCUUAGGCUUGGGGGUGGUGGCAUGGGUGCACACAGCUGGGAGUGGCCACAGUCCAGGUGAGGCUGAGAGGGCCUCCUGGUGAAGAGAAGAAAAGUUUGCCAGGGCCCAUGGCUGCCCCUCACCUUCCUCCUCCCUGUAGAUGGCCACAGGCUGGGGAAUGGCUCCGGAGCAACCUGGAGCCUCCCUGAUGACAGAAGCCACACAGCAGAAUGGCCAAACCAAAGCUGGAACAGACUGAGUGGCUGUGGUAUCCAAUCCCCACCCCACCCCACCCCACCCCCGCCAGCCCCACAUGCCUGUCCCUGGAUCCGGGGACAGUAGCACUCACAUGGGCAGUCAGUGUCUGUGUCCCUCACAGUUGACACCUGAGGGUUCUGGAGAGAGAUGCUUUUCUUCCAUGACAAAGCCAUUUGAGUCGUGUUUAUCUCUCCAGGACUUGACAGUUUCCAAGAACAGUCGAGUCCUGUGGUGAGCUGGCUUUCAGAAGCUGAAGUACAGCCAGGCUUGGGCUUGAGGGACCACGGGGAGGUGUCUUGAGAGAGGCAAGCUGCUUUACUGCGGUCUGAGGGCCUGCCUAAGGGGUCGGAUUGGCUCUGCUUUUGUUCUCUGUGAGGGGUUCCUGACUCACAGUUCUUAAGCUUGUUUAUAUUUCUGGAGGGUUCAGGGAAGGGGAAUUGGAACCCAGGGCUGCUUGACGCUAGGACCAUCUUCUCAGCCCCUGUUUGGGGCCUCUGUCUCCUCACUUGUAAGGGGCAUUAAGAUUAUUCAAAAGCCAAAGCUUUUCAAAAAAUUCCCCCAUUAAGGUGGGCCAAGCCCAUCGUGACUGAGGCAUUACCUGGAAUCUGAGCGGCCUGACAGAAGGAGGUGACCAUGAAGUGGGUCCUCUCCUGUUGUCACCCCUGCUUAGGUGUCUCUAAGCUGUUUGGAAGUCACUGAGCCCAAAGAGAGCAUUUGCUGGCCUUCCAGACAGCAUGCGCAGAGAGUGAUGGGCCCAGAAUGGAGAGCUGCAGCUGUUGUCCUCAGAGUGUUGGGGACACUGAGAAGGGUCAGUAGCCACCUCUGUUCAUUCUGCCAGCCCACAGCAUGUUGCAAGGCCAGGGUCUUCCCACAGGUGUCAUCAGAGGCAGCUCCCCUCAUCCCAGGGACACAAGCGCAUGUGCACACCAUGCGCACCGCUGUCUUAGUAAUUUUUCUAUUGCUGUGGUGGUUUGAAUAGGAGUGGACCCCAUAGACUCAUGAGAAACCCUGUCUCC